rnacentral:lncRNA from 1 species
GCUUGUGUGGUCAGGCUGAGUUAAUAUUCUUACUUCAGGGGCAAAUUUGAGAUUUCCUAAGAGUUUGAGGAAUCCUCUAAAAGGAUUCUGGAAAGCAAACAAACAAAAUACUGAAUUUAAAAAUAAAGAAAAAUGUUGCCUCUUCACAUUUUCUGUUUAUUGAACUUACUGGUAUUUUAAGAAAAGCAAAAUCACUUCAAUCCUCUUUAUUCUUUAUUCUGUAUCAAGUGCAUCAGGCAGCAAGCAGUGCUUCUUCAUCUCCAGAGCCUCAAUGUCCCAGUAAAGCAGCCACAGAAAGAAGCUGGACAUUUUGUCACCAGUGGUCCUGAACCAAAGCUGCUCCUGCCAGGGCACAAGUCCUUGUUUUCUGGAGAGGACCAAUUUGCUGUGCUAACCAGGUCCUCCUUUGCCCUCUAAACAUGAAUGUGUGAAUGUGGCAUCACCAUAAAGAAUCCAGUACAGUUCUACCACACUCCAGGUAAGUGCAGGAAAACAGUGAAAUUUCCUAUGUCAAGUCAGAAGAUGUGCUGGAAAUGUAGUGCAGUCUCCAGGGUCCUGGUCUCCGUUAUUAUACAACACAAAGGAAGCAUUCUCAUUUUACAACUCCUCAGGUUUUUAAAAUAAUAUAAGAGAUAAUUAUUUUCAUCAACACAGCUGGCUCCUCAGUACAAUAUUGUCAUUUGGAGUAGCAUUCAUCAGCUGUGCUGUCCUCUGACAACAAAGUGUGAGAACUUACCUAGGCAUGGUCUAGGACCCAUCUACUCUGCCAACUCCAUACUACUCUGAUUUCAGCCACUCUGACUUUUAAAUUAGUGAAAUAAUACAAAGUCUUUCCUUCCCUAAGAUUGGAGACCGCCAAAGUUCAUAUUCUGCCUGUACCACUUACUAGUUGUAAGAUUAGGGCAAGGUUGAGCUUCAUGUUAUGUGUGUUAGUCAGGGGGACAGUAGUUCCUAUUUUAUAGGAUUGGGUUGGGAUUGAAGGACACAACAUCUGUCAAGAUCUUAGAAAGUUCCUGGCUCAUAAUAUUUUUCAAAAUAUUGACUCCUCUUCCUUCCUUGCAUCCUACACCCCCUCAUCUCUUUCUUCUUCUAUUCACAUCCCACCUCCCUGUUUUGCAAGCUGGGUUUUCAGUGUCUUAGCUUUGAUAACUAUUGUCUCUACUUCAGAUGCCUCUUGUGACCAUCUUAUUUAAAGUAGCUCUUUUGUCAUUUUCUCUCACCCCUCUCUUAUUUCCUUCACAGCACUUGGCUGAGUCUGUAGUUGCAUAUUUAUUUGCUUUUAUUGUCUUGUUCAGUAUCUUUCUCCACUGCUGGACUGAAGACUCCAUGACAGCUGUGACCUGGCCAGUUUUGUUCAUCCCUGUACACACUACACAGAACAGAACAUCUGGAAAUAUUUAGAAAUGGAAUCCUAAGGCUUCUGAGCUGUCAGGGGACUACAAAGGGAAACUGCAAUUCUGAAUCAUGAACAAUUCUAUAGUUUGUUGAAGCAGAAGGCACUGGAGGGAACUGGUGCUGCGUCCCCUCACGAGGGUUGAGUGUGGGAUGGAGGGAAGGAAGCCUGCCUUUGACCCAGAAGAGAAUGCCAUAGAACUUAGCUCCGGAUUCCCAGGGCCUCUGCUGAAACAAGUGAAGAGGGUCUGAAGCAGGAGACAGUGAUAGAGAGCAAAUGGCCAAAGAGUACCCUGGGUCAGCUUGGUGGAGGGAUGUUACUCGGCAGCACCCAGACGGUACCUUCUAGGGAACUCCAGAAGUAUGUAAAAGACACCUUAAGAACUGAAAAGCUACAAUCCCCAGGAUAUGGAAAGAACCAGGGAAACUUGAAUCGAGGCUUUUCCUGUUAUUCGCACAGUCUGGUAAGGCCAGGGGAAACUUGAAUUGCAGCAUGAAUAUUAUUGUGGCCUGGUCUCAUCCCAUGUAGAGAAUUCAGAUGGAGAAAUACUGAGCAAAAGCCCAUCAGCAGUCACGAUGGGGUGUGACAGGAAGGGAGGACAGGGUACUGUCCUCAAAAUCCCACAUCACUACUGCAUGAACUAAGACUUUUGGCUGUGGGAGUGUUGGUGGGAAAAAUGGGCCUUCUUCUAUCCUAGUAAAUGUUUACAAAAAUCACAGUCUAGCACCAGGCAACAGCAAAGGAUGUUCAAUGCAUUUAUGUCGUAUUACCUGAACAGCUGGGCAAAGAGUGCCCUGGGAACCAUGCUGGUAAGCUGGGAAAUUCUGAAGAUACAGAAGGAAACAUCAGCUCCAACUCAUACGCUCUCCCCUCAUGUGCUUACAACAUACAUCACUUCUGUGACCUCAGAGGUGUGGGGAUUUCUUCUCUGAAGCCAGCAAGUAACUCUGCAGUAGCAGGAUCUUUAAUUUAAUUCUGUUCUGACACUAACUACAUGUAGUUAGAGUCAGAUCCCACAGGUUGAGGGAUCCCUCCUGAAGCCUGCUCUCCCAAGCCCCACCUUCAGGUGCCAAUCGAAAGCCCCAGUUACUUUUACCUGUGUCUCUGACAGAAUGUCUGUAACUCAGGGAUCUCACAAGUGCCUCCUCAGGUUGGAGAGAUUCAACUGAGCACCUUAUAGAACUCGGGGAAACAUUUUUUAUUGGUUUACUGUAAAGGAUAUUACAAAAGAUACAACAAAUAGUUAUAUAGGAUAAGGCUUCUGUGUCCAUCUCCAGGAACCUCCAUUACUUAGCCCCGUGGAAGUUCUUUUUCCUUUUGAGUUUUCAUGUUAACCUCAUGGUACAUCUAAUGCUAAUAGAAUGGGUGAGGAAGCCCAGGGAGGCCUCUGAGAAAUUCUUGGCCUCUCUGUGCAGCUUUCCUCCCUCCAGGGCACGAGGGAGUACCCUCUGGAAUGAGGAGAGUUCUAUGGCCUGUCAGGAGACAAAGGUAGUUAAAGAAUUUCUUAUGGCCACAGAAGCAGGGAAGUAGGGUUUCUAUGACCCACCUGGGAAAAGACAAAUUCUAGUUUCUGUCUGCCUUGGGGAGGAAGUUAUGAGCUAGGAACUGUGGAUGAAAGCUAAAAUAUACCAUAAUAUCACAGAAAUUGUUCACACCAUACUUUCAAUGGAGAUGGCAUUAACUUGAGAGUCAGAAUGUAAAAUCUGAAUCCUUGUCACCCCUUAAUAAUUUCGUUUCAAAAAUUAAUAGUAGGAGUAUGUAAAAUAAAUUGCAAAUGAUCUGCUCUCACUGUUGCGCCAAUAACUUGUUUCUGAAGGGACACUACCAUUAAAAUAAUAAAAGAGGAUGAGAUAAAAUGCAAUAUCCAAACAUGCAUAUGCUGUAGAUAUGAGAAGAUGGUAAGGCAAUCUCCAUAUCCAAGAAAGGUGUUCACAACAUGAUCCCUUUAAAAUAAUUCUUAUGCAUGUAUGGGAAGAGGCAAGAGUGGGUAUAUACAUGUAUAUGUAGAAGAAGUAAAAGAAAGCCCCAGGCGGAUUUUAUAAUAACAUGAGCAUCCUAACUCCUUUGAACUGAGUUUGGACUGGGUAGUCUUUAAAGCCCUUUUCUAUCUCUCACAUGUUCUACAUGUAAAGUCCUCAAGCUCCUCUGGAUGAUGGCUGGUUGAAAUUGAUUUUUUAGGCCAGAUUUUUAAAAAGGACUUAUUUUUUUUAAAUAGAAGCAACUGCUUCUUUAUGGCCACAUUAGAAACAAUCAGAAAAAGAACAAUAAUUAAAAGCUAAUG